UGGCUCAGGACGAACGCUGGCGGUAUGCUUAACACAUGCAAGUCGAACGAGAAGGAAGAGCUUGCUCUUCCUGAAAGUGGCGAACGGGUGAGUAACGCGUGGGUAACCUACCCUUUGGAAAGGAAUAGCCUCGGGAAACUGGGAGUAAUGCCUUAUAAGAUACGUUUGUCGCAUGGCAUUUGUAUUAAACGCUCCGGCGCCAUAGGAUGGACCCGCGUCCCAUUAGCUAGUUGGUGAGAUAACAGCUCACCAAGGCCACGAUGGGUAACCGGUCUGAGAGGGCGAACGGUCACACUGGAACUGAGACACGGUCCAGACUCCUACGGGAGGCAGCAGUGGGGAAUAUUGCGCAAUGGGGGCAACCCUGACGCAGCAAUACCGCGUGAGUGAAGAAGGUUUUCGGAUCGUAAAGCUCUGUUAUUGGGGAAGAAAAAAAGACGGUACCCAAGAAGAAAGUUCCGGCUAACUACGUGCCAGCAGCCGCGGUAAUACGUAGGGAACAAGCGUUGUCCGGAUUUACUGGGCGUAAAGGGCACGCAGGCGGUUUUUUAAGUCAGAUGUGAAAGGCCACAGCUCAACUGUGGACAUGCAUUUGAAACUGAAAGACUUGAGUAUUGGAGAGGCAAGUGGAAUUCCUAGUGUAGCGGUGAAAUGCGUAGAUAUUAGGAGGAACACCGGUGGCGAAGGCGGCUUGCUGGACAAAUACUGACGCUGAUGGCUCAGGACGAACGCUGGCGGUAUGCUUAACACAUGCAAGUCGAACGAGAAGGAAGAGCUUGCUCUUCCUGAAAGUGGCGAACGGGUGAGUAACGCGUGGGUAACCUACCCUUUGGAAAGGAAUAGCCUCGGGAAACUGGGAGUAAUGCCUUAUAAGAUACGUUUGUCGCAUGGCAUUUGUAUUAAACGCUCCGGCGCCAUAGGAUGGACCCGCGUCCCAUUAGCUAGUUGGUGAGAUAACAGCUCACCAAGGCCACGAUGGGUAACCGGUCUGAGAGGGCGAACGGUCACACUGGAACUGAGACACGGUCCAGACUCCUACGGGAGGCAGCAGUGGGGAAUAUUGCGCAAUGGGGGCAACCCUGACGCAGCAAUACCGCGUGAGUGAAGAAGGUUUUCGGAUCGUAAAGCUCUGUUAUUGGGGAAGAAAAAAAGACGGUACCCAAGAAGAAAGUUCCGGCUAACUACGUGCCAGCAGCCGCGGUAAUACGUAGGGAACAAGCGUUGUCCGGAUUUACUGGGCGUAAAGGGCACGCAGGCGGUUUUUUAAGUCAGAUGUGAAAGGCCACAGCUCAACUGUGGACAUGCAUUUGAAACUGAAAGACUUGAGUAUUGGAGAGGCAAGUGGAAUUCCUAGUGUAGCGGUGAAAUGCGUAGAUAUUAGGAGGAACACCGGUGGCGAAGGCGGCUUGCUGGACAAAUACUGACGCUGA
rnacentral:rRNA from 1 species